GAUGAACGCUGGCGGCGUGCUUAACACACGCAAGUCGAACGAUGAAGCCCAGCUUGCUGGGCGGAUUAGUGGCGAACGGGUGAGUAACACGUGAGUAACCUGCCCUUGACUCUGGGAUAAGCCCGGGAAACUGGGUCUAAUACCGGAUAGGAGCGCCUGUCGCAUGACGGGUGCUGGAAAGAUCUUUCGGUCAUGGAUGGACUCGCGGCCUAUCAGCUUGUUGGUGAGGUAACGGCUCACCAAGGCGACGACGGGUAGCCGGCCUGAGAGGGUGACCGGCCACACUGGGACUGAGACACGGCCCAGACUCCUACGGGAGGCAGCAGUGGGGAAUAUUGCACAAUGGGCGAAAG
rnacentral:rRNA from 1 species